AUUUACACUGCCCUGAAACAGCAGGCCACAAAAGGACUCUGAUUCCCAUGCUAGAGCUUCCAGCUGAGAGCUUGGCUGUGAAGCUACCUCUGCAGAGACAUACAAGAGGCUUUAUUUUUUGCAUAAAGGUCUGCAAGCCCUUUUAGAGUGGAUCUUGUUGUCAAUCAAAUUAGAAAUGGAGGCUAAAGUCUGAGCAUGCAGUGGGAGAAAGUGGCAGCUUGAAGCGUCAAGACACUUCUGUGCUGUGAAGAGGUAUUGUCGCAGGACUGAUGUCAGAAGAAUUGUAUUGGUUUCAGAGAACCUUUGCAAAAGGGCAGCAGAUGAAGGAUCUGAAUCUCAGUGACACUGUCUGACACAGCGCAGAGAAAAAUGGAAUAUUUAAUUACAAGAGGGUUUAAAUUAUGAAUUGCUGCUGUAAUGUGUGGUCAAAAGACUGUAUGGAAUAGGUCCUUCAUAUUACUGCGCAUGCUUUCAAGACAAGAUAUUAAGGAUAGACAAAACAUGAUUGAAAACUGUCUUGUAAAGAUGCACUACAGUCAUCUCGCCAUGAGGCAGGUGAAGUUUGUAAGUAGGCAAGGAGUGUAUUGACUCUGGUCUCUCUAAGACCCUCACUGUAAAUUAUUUUGUCUUGUGACAGCCACAAGCCAAAGUAAUAAAAUAAACUUAAACCUG